UACAGGUGUAACCUGUCCGUACUGUAACUCAGUCAUGUGGUGUAGUACAGGUGUUACCUGUCCGUACAGUAACUCAGUCAUGUGGUGUAGUACAGGUGUAACCUGUCCGUACAGUAACUCAGUCAUGUGGUGUAGUACAGGUGUAACCUGUCAGUAACUCAGUCAUGUGGUGUAGUACAGGUGUUACCUGUCCGUACAGUAACUCAGUCAUGUGGUGUAGUACAGGUGUAACCUGUCCGUACAGUAACUCAGUCAUGUGGUGUAGUACAGGUGUAACCUGUCAGUAACUCAGUCAUGUGGUGUAGUACAGGUGUAACCUGUCCGUACAGUAACUCAGUCAUGUGGUGUAGUACAGGUGUAACCUGUCCGUACUGUAACUCAGUCAUGUGGUGUAGUACAGGUGUUACCUGUCCGUACAGUAACUCAGUCAUGUGGUGUAGUACAGGUGUAACCUGUCCGUACUGUAACUCAGUCAUGUGGUGUAGUACAGGUGUAACCUGUCCGUACAGUAACUCAGUCAUGUGGUGUAGUACAGGUGUUACCUGUCAGUACAGUAACUCAGUCAUGUGGUGUAGUACAGGCGUAACCUGUCCGUACAGUAACUCAGUCAUGUGGUGUAGUACAGGCGUAACCUGUCCGUACAGUAACUCAGUCAUGUGGUGUAGUACAGGUGUAACCUGUCAGUAACUCAGUCAUGUGGUGUAGUACAGGUGUUACCUGUCCGUACAGUAACUCAGUCAUGUGGUGUAGUACAGGUGUAACCUGUCCGUACAGUAACUCAGUCAUGUGGUGUAGUACAGGUGUAACCUGUCCGUACAGUAACUCAGUCAUGUGGUGUAGUACGGUGUAACCUGUCCGUACAGUAACUCAGUCAUGUGGUGUAGUACAGGUGUAACCUGUCCGUACAGUAACUCAGUCAUGUGGUGUAGUACAGGUGUAACCUGUCCGUACAGUAACUCAGUCAUGUGGUGUAGUACAGGUGUAACCUGUCCGUACAGUAACUCAGUCAUGUGGUGUAGUACAGGUGUAACCUGUCCGUACAGUAACUCAGUCAUGUGGUGUAGUACAGGUGUAACUCAGUCAUGUGGUGUAGUACAGGUGUAACCUGUCAGUA
rnacentral:lncRNA from 1 species